GGAUGAUUCAAACAGCCAGCUGUCCCAGCACUGAGGAGGAAACACCAUGAUAUGUUGAGGACAGCUACAGUUCACUGACUCUGUGUGUUUGCAUAUCUGUCCUGCCUCUCUGCUCCCAGCCGUUAAGAGGCCAGUGUUGAUCAGUGGCUGUCCAGGCCUUUCAGAGCCACUGACACGCCGGCAGCACAAUGAUGAUGUCACUGAUUCCACUGCUGGCCACCCUGGGGCUCCUUGUUCAGGGUUCAUCAGGACAAAUCAUCCUGACUCAGUCUCCUGGAUCUCAGUCUGUUGUUCCAGGACAGACUGUCUCUCUCAGAUGUAAAACCAGUACGAGUGUUCAUAGUGAUGGUGUCAGCUACCUCCACUGGUACCUUCAGAAACCUGGAGAAGCUCCUAAACUCCUGAUUUAUUUAGCUACAACCCUUCACUCUGGAGUUCGAGGUCGUUUUAGUGGAAGUGGAUUUGGGACUGACUUCACUCUGACCAUCAGUGGAGUUCAGGCUGAAGAUUCAGGAGUUUACUACUGUCAGCAGAGUAACAGCAUCCCGUUCACACAGUGAUACAACGUCGUACAAAAACCUCCCUCAGCUGGAGAGGAACUGAUCUGACUCAACAGCUGCACUGAAACUAAAACAUUAGAAGCUUCUCUAAAAGAAAACUCAUGAUUGUGUUAAAAAGUUAUAUUUUUAUUUUGGAAAUAUUUUUCAUACAAUUCAGCAGAGUAUUUUAUUAUUACUGACUAACAGUGUUUGAGACAUUAUCACACUGUUACAGUUUACUCAAACACGGUUUUACAGCAAAGUUUCAAUCAGGAAAAAAAUGGUUCAACAAGGAACUGUAACACAAAACUCUGAAUCAUUUGUUCUGGAGAAAAUGUUUAAUCUUUGACCGAUUUGUUGACGCGACCUCUUUUUUCAGACUCACUGAGAAUACUGAAUUAGUCAAGAAGGAGCCAGAAUUUAACACAAGUAAGCAGAGAAUUCAAACUGAAGGAUAAAAAGGUCAAUUAGCUAUUUAACACAUUCAAGAAAUGCAUACAAACAACAAAACAACACUUUAUAACAGUAAUGUUCUCUUUAGACCCAAAACAUUUUACAUUAUUGAUGAAGCAGAGAUAUACACUCAGUGUCCACUUUAUUAGGUACACCUGUAUAUCCUAAUGUAAUCCAAUAGAAGCUUUCUACCAUAAAGU